rnacentral:lncRNA from 10 species
GGGAAGUCCAAGCAGUGCUGUGUGCCAGCCAGCACUGGCACACGGUGGGUCUGAAGGUCAAUUAGCCCCGCCCCCACCGAGGUCGGAGAGCUCUCACUCACUGAGCCCUGGGCCUGGGUGCACAGCGGGGACUCUGAGACAGGUGGGCUGCUGAGAUCCUCACUGCUGGGCUCCCCAAGGACCAUCAGUCACACAACCAUCCUGCGGAUAUAGCUGCAGCUCUACAGGUGGCUGCACCCACCCACAGAGCACACGUCCCUUUUGCCGCCACAGGACACCUUAGAAGCUACAGCAAAGUCAAGGCCUAGGAAAAGCCUCAUGGCACCUUGCCCAAGCAGGAAAGAGACCAGGAGAGUAGGGCCCCGCUGUCAGGAAGGAAAAGCAGCUUAAGGUUAGAAGGGCCACUAAGGAAGGCCGGGCACGGUGGUUCACACCUGUAAUCCCAGCACUUUGGGAGGCCAAGGCAGAUGGCUUGAGGUCAGGAGUUCAAGACCAGCCUGGCCAACAUGGUGAAACCCCAUCUCUACUAAAAAUACACAAAUUAGCCCAGCAUGGUGGCAGGAGCCUGUAAUCCCAGCUACUCAUGAGGCUGAGGCAGGAGAAUCGCUUGAACCGGGGAGGUGGAGAUUGCAGUGAGCCGAGAUCGCGCCACUGCACUCCAGACUGGGCGACAGAGCGAGACUCUGUCUCAAAGCACUUUGGGAGGCUGAGGUGGGUAGAUCACGAGGUCAGGAGUUCAAGAUUAGCCUAACCAAGAUGGUGAAACCCCGUCUCUACUAAAAACACAAAAAUUAGCCGGGCGCAGUGGUAGGCACUUGUAAUCACAGCUACUCAGGAGGCUGAGGCAGGAGAAUC